AACGAACGCUGGCGGCAUGCCUAACACAUGCCAGUCGAACGAGACCUUCGGGUCUAGUGGCGCACGGGUGCGUAACGCGUGGGAACCUGCCCUUAGGUUCGGCAUAACUCCCCGAAUGGGGUGCUAAUACCGGAUCAUGUCUUCGGUCCAACGAUUUAUCGCCUUUGGAUGGGCCCGCGUUGGAUUAGUUAGUUGGUAGGCUAAAAGCCUACCAAGGCGACGAUCCAUAGCUGGUUAGAGAGGAUGAGCAGCCACACUGGGACUGAGACACGGCCCAGAAUCUUACGGGAUGCAGCAGUGGGGAAUAUUGGACAACGGGCGAAAGCAUGAUCCAGCAAUGACGGGUGAGUGAUGAAGGCCUGAGGGUUGGAAAGCUCGUUUACCCGGGAUGAUAAUGACAGUACCGGGAGAAUAAGCACCGGCUAACUCCGUG
rnacentral:rRNA from 1 species